AUGAGAUAAAGGCUUCAGUUAAGAAAGGCAGAUGCAUCCCCCGGACACUUGUGAGAGAAUAGGGCGUUCCCUAGGCAAAAUAACGAAGGUGAGAUGCCUUUUAAGCUGCUUAUUUUAUUCCCCACCCAGUCUCAUUCCCCUUGUAAGGAUCCCCAAUACAAGAGUAUACCUGGAACAGCAACGUUAAAUAAAAGGGUGACAGGGUUUUAAAACAAUAGGAAAUCGUGAGACUGUGAAUAGAGUUUGGGGACGCUCUAAAAACAUUCACACUCGAAACUUUUCUUUAACCGCUGUCCCCUACCUCCACACCUCACCCCCAAAACACUCUCCUGGGGAGGUAUUCUGUGAUCUUUGGAAAGCAGCUUUGCUAUCAGCGACUUCCCUCCUUGAGCUAAGAGACUUCCUGUUUAAAAGCACUUGCAAGACCUGCUGACCCCAUUUCUUUUCUGAUUUAAUUAUUCUUUUUGAAAGUUGCCUCCAACCUGAAGGGGAUUUGAAAGACCAAGAAACAGAGGCUCAGAGAUGUUAUGUAAAUUGCCCAAGGUGACAAAUAGAAAGUGACCAAUCUGGACCUUCAUCCCAAGGAAUAUGAUCUUAACCACUUUUCCAUACUGGCCCCCGAGUGGAAGAGUCUACUUUUCUAAGAGAUCUGGAGUCAGACCCUCUGUAGGCAUAUGCGUUGGCAGCCCCCGGCUUGAAAAAGUAACCUCACAGUGUGAGUAAGUGCCAUGCUGGAGGUGACCUCAAGAUGCUUUGGAAGUACCAAGAAGAGGAACUUAACCAGGCCUGGAAGUUCAGAGGAUACUUCCUGUAAUGUCACCUGACCAGGGUCAUGUGCCAUUAGUGGGUGAGGUCUAGAAGGAGAGUGACAGAGGGUUGGGCAAUGGGUGGAGUUGGGGAGCUGUUUAAGCAGAUGGAACAGCUUAAGAAAGGGCUCAGAGGUGGUAGCAGCAGCCUUUGGAUCCUCUAUGCCUACUGAUCUGCAUUUGGCCUUCUACCCUGACCCCUUCCCAGAGGGGCUGGUGUCUCUAGCUCUUGCAUCACUAACAGACAAAAGAUGACCCUACCCAGUCAAUGACUGGACCCAGUCCUGGCUCCAUACACCAGCUGCACUCACAUCCCCAGGUCUCCCUGACUCACCAGACAUACGUGAACCAUGGGGCACCACCCCUUAAAAUCCCAUCAACAAAAGCUCUUAACAGAAGGAGUUUCCCACCCAUCACUCAGGUACACAUCAACAAUAAUAUAGAGCUAUUCCUUCAGAUGAGGGGCUGAGAAUAUCUUAGUGUUUAAAUCAUAGAAGUCAGAGUCUGUGUGACUGGUGGAAUUUACACCCCUCUGCAAAAUAAACCACCCCUAAAUACCUGUUCCUGACAAAGGCAAAUUACAUUUUCCCCAGGGCAAUAAAGAGAAGCCUCUAGAGGUGAAAGUGUUUCUCUGGGAGGAGUCCAGAAAAGUGAAGAGAGAAGGAAUCUAGCACCUCUCAAUUUGAGAAUGGAAGUCUGUUUCAUGGGCAGGACCAGGCUCCAGGCUCUGUCCAUAGGAAAAGUAAUUUUGUUCAUAGUGGGUAAAACCUGUGAACUUCUUUUUUUUUUUUUUUGGAGGGCAUCCAUCCAACAAGGGAACUACCAGGUCUAGCUGUGAUUGGUGGGAAGGUCAACAGAAAGUGAAGGACUUGAGUCUAUCCUUGCUCACAGGCAGGAGUCCAUUCCUACCAGGGGUCUGAGAGACUUGGCAGGCUGGUUGAAGGCUUGAGGAUAGAGCAGACUUCCCUUGCUGAGUUCAAGGUCAAGUUCAACAUCCACUCAAGAACUCUGCUCCAAACCAUGAUAAGAUACCACUCCGCGGUCACUAGGGUGGCUAUAAUAAAACAGACAGACAAUAACAAAGUAUUGAUGAAAAUAUAGAGAAAUUAGGGACGCCUGGGUGGCGCAGUCGUUAAGUGUCUGCCUUCGGCUCGGGGCGUGAUCCCGGCAUUCUGGG